AAUGCAGAACAGCCAGCCCAAGCAUUCUCUUGCAACAGCUCAGAGCUCCAGUCUCAAGUGAUCAGGGACCACAAUUUGAAGCUAACCCCCCGUCUCGUCUUCUGCCCCCCAGACUCCACACUGGCCAGAUAUGGGAGUCUGUAAAAACGUUUUGUAAAACUGGUGAAGGAAACAAAAAUCAGCUAAAGGAGGUGGUCUGAGACGGGCAAGUUCAGACGCUUGGAAAUCCAGACACCACAGUGCCGCCCCACCUUCCAAUCCAAGGAUGCAAUGUGAGAAGCAGGUCCAACUGGAAAGCCAAAGACACAAAACUGAGCACCAUGGGAGGAGAGGCAAAACGGGAGGAAAAGCAAAGCCAGCAGGUGCCAACAGACGAGCUGCCUCCCGCGCAUGAUUGUCAACAGAGCCCCAGAGCCUCCCGGAGAAGACGGGCGAGGCUCCUCGGGCAGAUGCCAGGGCUGGAGAUGAGAGCUGCAGGCGGCUGGGCGCUUUUAUACUUCGACACCAGCAGCAGAAGGCAGUUGGGUGACUCCAGAACACUGAGCUGGCUUCAGGUUCAGAGCGUCUGGAUUUAGCAAAAGCAUUUCCCAGUCCCAGGUUAUAUUUCCUUUUCCCUUGUGUUUCCAAAAGCCGAGGUUAAAUUAAAGUCAGUUAUUGCCAGAUGAAGAUACAACAUCCUGUUUUGUAUUAAAAGAAGACUGUUUGGCUCAGGCUACUCAUCUUUCUGACAUAUUCUUGAUUAAAAGCGAAGAAAUGGAAAGUGCCAAAGCAAACACUACCUCAAAUAGAUCGGAAUGGAGAGAAUUAUCAUUUUAUUUGCUACACUUUUAUUAAUUUGGCCAAAGAGCAAAUGGAUAGUCCUGACUUUUAUGAUCAUAAAUUAAGGGAAUUUAUGUAGCUUUGUCAUUAAAAUUGCUUCUAUUUCCAUAUCAUUUCAUUUAGUAUUACUGAUUCCCUCACAGAACAAAAAGUCACUCCCCCUCCCUCACGAGAAUUGCAGAGACCCUGGGACUUAAAGGGACCAUGAGAGGCAAGUGUCCGAUGCUAAGGGGACAAGUGUGGCACUGUAAGAAAGCCAAGCCUUGGACAAGCCAGGCCUGAUGAUGAAGUGACAUCGAGCAGCUGGAGAGAGAAGAGAGGCAGGAGAGCCACCCACAGCUGCCUUCCUUACUCAGCAAAGGGACCUGAAAAACAAAAGCCACUGAGGCUGGUUGUAUCACUUCUUUGGGACAGCUGUCCCUAGAGCCCACAUCUAUACUUAGGAGGAAUCUGGUCCUGGGCACAGUGUGGGAAGUGAGAGAAUUUUUCUGUAGAAUAGAAGCUCUCCAGUUCACGAGUGUGGGGGCCUUGUGAGUCAUGCUUAUUCAAAGCGAGCAGUUCCCACCUAGUGGAGUAUGAGAGGCUUUGCCGUCCCCAUCCCGUAGGUCUACCAGUCCGAAAUCUCCUCACUGGAGAAUUCUUUGAGAUCUGUGAUGAGCACGCCUAGGUAAGUCUCCCCAGGGAGGAUAGCACAUCAACCCUGUUAUCUGGCAUUAACUCUGACGGAGGAUGUCUUUACCAGACCCAGAGCUGCAGACCGGGGAAGUUAACACCUGGGUCUUGUGGUCAAGCAGGCGGAUGGAAUGUCACUGUGAGGAAAAGGCCCAGGGGAGUGUCUCAGUGGGGAUGCUCCCUUAUCGGAGAGGCCUGGAAACGAUUUUACAGGAAGACCAUGAAACAAGAAAUGGCUCUGCGAUCCAGGUCACCUAACUCCCAAGUUUUCUGAGAGCUGUCCUUGGCAGCUCCCACCACCUGGACCACCUAGCGAAGUCGCUACAAGCCAACGUCUUCUCACUUUCAACUGCAUUGAGGCUUUCCGUUGGUGUUUUCAAUGCUUUCAACUAUUCUAGUGGUUCUCACUCCCAGCUGCCUGUUAAACCAGGAAGCUUCUAAAGAUAUCAGUGCCUGGAUCCUAUCCCAGACCAAUGGAGUCAGACUCUGUAGUGGGGCCAGGGCACCAACAGUUUUGAAAAAGUUCCCCGAGAUGAUUCUACUAUGCAGCCAGGGUUAGGGAAUCACUGACCCAUCCUCUCCUUGACUCAACAGGAAUAAAUAACAUCUAUAAUUUGUUGAGCAUUUACCGCGUGCCAGCCAAAUACUUGUUUGCUUUAGGUCACUGACUUUUCUUAGCAAACCUAUUAUUACCAUCUUUUAGAUGAGGAAACGGGGGUGGGGGGGGUUGCUCAGAGAGGUAAAGUGACUUGCCUGACGUUACACAAUUGGAAAGAGGUCAUUAGGAGAUGUAUCCAUCUAUCCUCCUGCUUUCCUACAGCAAAGCAGAAGACCAGUGACAGGCUGGCUGCAGAGAGAAGGCCAGGUUCAUCACAGCCAGAAGGCUCACACACAGAAUCAGGUCAGAGGGCUAUGAGUGGAAUUAUAUAUCACCCAAAGAGAUGUUGGAGUCCUAACCUCCAUACUCCUGAGAUGACUUUAUUUGGAAACAGAGUCUUUGUCUAUGAUCAAGUUAAGAUGAGGUCACUGGGUUGGGCCCUAACCAGAUCUGACUGUCUUCUUAUAAAGGAAAAAUUUGGACACAGAGAUAGACACGCACACAGGAAGAGUGUCGUGUGAAGAUGAAGGUAGGGAUGGGGGUGAUGCAUUUACAAGUCAGGGAAAACCAAAAAUCGCCAGCAAACCACCAGAAGCUGGGAGAAGGACAUGAAGCAGAUUGCCAACCGCCCCCCCCACCCCCGCCCCACAGCACAGAAGGAACCAAUUCAGGCUGACAACUUGACCUCAGCCUUCCAACCUCCAAACUAGGAGACAAUGAAUUCCUUCGUUCAAGCCACUUGAUUUGUGGCACUUUGUUAUGGCAGCCACAGCAAAUGCAUACAGAGAACAUGUGGGGAAGCUUCCA